GAACAUAACCUCUAAUCGGUUGCUUCGGCGGGACUUCGCGCCCGCCGGGGCCCAAACCUUUCUGAAUUUUUUUAAUAAGUAUCUUUCUGAGUAGGUUAAAAAAAAUGAAUCAAAACUUUCAACAACGGAUCUCUUAGGUUCUGGCAUCGAUGAAGAACGCAGCGAAAUGCGAUAAGUAAUGUGAAUUGCAGAAUUCAGUGAAUCAUCGAAUCUUUGAACGCACAUUGCGCCCGUCAGUAUUCUGGCGGGCAUGCCUGUUCGAGCGUCAUUACGCCCCUCAAGUCCCCUGUGGACUUGGUGUUGGGGAUCGGCGAGGCUGGUUUUCCAGCACAGCCGUCCCUUAAAUUAAUUGGCGGUCUCGCCGUGGCCCUCCUCUGCGCAGUAGUAAAGCACUCGCAACAGGAGCCCGGCGCGGUCCACUGCCGUAAAACCCCCUAACUUUUUAUAGUUGACCUCGAAUCAGGUAGGACUACCCGCUGAACUUAAGCAUAUCAAUAGAGGGGGGAGGAAA
rnacentral:rRNA from 1 species